rnacentral:rRNA from 2 species
UCGCCGCCCACGACUCGGCGAGAAGUCCAUUGAACCUUAUCAUUUAGAGGAAGGAGAAGUCGUAACAAGGUUUCCGUAGGUGAACCUGCGGAAGGAUCAUUG